GGCCUAGGAGGCUGUAUAAACGACCGUGAAGCAGUUAGCUCCGGCAGAGCCAAUAGAACGAGCUUCCACUGUGAUGAAAGCGAGUUCGGCUUGGCCAGAAGCAGGAAACGGGGAACGUGGUGGAAAUUGAAAAUGGGAUGGACGACUAGGCACGAGGGACAGAUGGCGGCCCGGAUAUAACAACAGAACUAAAAGUCUGCGGAAAUUACGUGAUCCGCUUUCAAGCCCCUACAAUUUUCGUGGACGUGACCCACGGAUUGAUUUCCGAAAUCGAUCGCAUGGGCAUUAAUUAACUAGCUACAUACGAACAUUGCAAGCUGAGUCCGUUUAUGCUCCUCGAUAUUUCACCUGUGAUUCCUUCGAAGCAGAUUUUCAUUUUUCGCGAAAUACUUUUCGAAAACUUGACCAAAAGAUCGACUACAUGGCAGAGACUUCGGUAAGCAACUGCAGGAUUGUUUUUCGACUCUUUAAAAGCCUAGAGAGUAUCAACGUCUGCUGCAACCUACCAACGACGGAGUUAUGAGCUAACACUUUGGAUAAAACACGAUUCUCG